GAUGAACGCUGGCGGCGUGCCUAAUACAUGCAAGUCGAGCGAACGGACGAGAAGCUUGCUUCUCUGAUGUUAGCGGCGGACGGGUGAGUAACACGUGGAUAACCUACCUAUAAGACUGGGAUAACUUCGGGAAACCGGAGCUAAUACCGGAUAAUAUUUUGAACCGCAUGGUUCAAAAGUGAAAGACGGUCUUGCUGUCACUUAUAGAUGGAUCCGCGCUGCAUUAGCUAGUUGGUAAGGUAACGGCUUACCAAGGCAACGAUGCAUAGCCGACCUGAGAGGGUGAUCGGCCACACUGGAACUGAGACACGGUCCAGACUCCUACGGGAGGCAGCAGUAGGGAAUCUUCCGCAAUGGGCGAAAGCCUGACGGAGCAACGCCGCGUGAGUGAUGAAGGUCUUCGGAUCGUAAAACUCUGUUAUUAGGGAAGAACAUAUGUGUAAGUAACUGUGCACAUCUUGACGGUACCUAAUCAGAAAGCCACGGCUAACUACGUGCCAGCAGCCGCGGUAAUACGUAGGUGGCAAGCGUUAUCCGGAUUAUUGGGCGUAAAGCGCGCGUAGGCGGUUUUUUAAGUCUGAUGUGAAAGCCCACGGCUCAACUCUUGGAGGGUCAUUGGAAACUGGAAAACUUGAGUGCAGAAGAGGAAAGUGGAAUUCCAUGUGUAGCGGUGAAAUGCGCAGAGAUAUGGAGGAACACCAGUGGCGAAGGCGACUUUCUGGUCUGUAACUGACGCUGAUGUGCGAAAGCGUGGGGAUCAAACAGGAUUAGAUACCCUGGUAGUCCACGCCGUAAACGAUGAGUGCUAAGUGUUAGGGGGUUUCCGCCCCUUAGUGCUGCAGCUAACGCAUUAAGCACUCCGCCUGGGGAGUACGACCGCAAGGUUGAAACUCAAAGGAAUUGACGGGGACCCGCACAAGCGGUGGAGCAUGUGGUUUAAUUCGAAGCAACGCGAAGAACCUUACCAAAUCUUGACAUCCUUUGACAACUCUAGAGAUAGAGCUUUCCCCUUCGGGGGACAAAGUGACAGGUGGUGCAUGGUUGUCGUCAGCUCGUGUCGUGAGAUGUUGGGUUAAGUCCCGCAACGAGCGCAACCCUUAAGCUUAGUUGCCAUCAUUAAGUUGGGCACUCUAAGUUGACUGCCGGUGACAAACCGGAGGAAGGUGGGGAUGACGUCAAAUCAUCAUGCCCCUUAUGAUUUGGGCUACACACGUGCUACAAUGGACAAUACAAAGGGCAGCGAAACCGUGAGGUCAAGCAAAUCCCAUAAAGUUGUUCUCAGUUCGGAUUGUAGUCUGCAACUCGACUACAUGAAGCUGGAAUCGCUAGUAAUCGUAGAUCAGCAUGCUACGGUGAAUACGUUCCCGGGUCU
rnacentral:rRNA from 1 species